CGCGCUGCAGCUGUCGGAGGCGGGCGCCACGGUCUAUAUCACGGGCCGGAAGCGAGAGGCGCUGGAGAAAACGGCGGCCGAGAACUUAGUCCAAACUGCCCGGCUUCUUUGGAUUCUUGUUCCGUAUGCUAGCAAGUUCUCUGGAUCAGACACCUCCAUGGAAAUAAAUUAGGAAAUAUGCCCUGCUGAAGAAAUCCUUGCACACAAGGGAAUGUGUCCCUAUCUAAGAUGUUUAUAUUUAGGACUGCUUUGAAUUAUGUUUAUGUGUGUUUAUGUUCAUUGGCAGUCCUAAACUGUGAUUUUAUUCAUAUUAUUAUUGCUAUUUUAUUGAUAUUGUAAGCUGCCUUGAGUUCCCGCAAGGUGGAAAGGUGACUAAUAAAUGUUUUAAAUAAAAUAAGUAAGAAUAUCUAUGGAUCAAGAUGCUCAGUGGGAGGCAUCAAAUAAUAAGUGAACCACAUGGAAAAUGUAUACAUAAGAUACAUGUUUUAAACAGUUAACAGAAAAUAUUAUUUACAUAAAGUGCUCUACUUGCUUUUUUUCUUUC